AAGAAGGAGGUAUGCUGCCAGCUCCAGCCAAGGAUCAACCAAAGCCUGAGGCUGUGGGAGCUGGAGAUACUGCAAUCCAGGCAGAUACCAAGCUACCCAUAGAGGCCCUGAAGAGUCUGGAGUUGCCAGGGACUGCACAGACCAGGGAACCCAGAGACUGCAAAGAUGCCCAGAUUACAGAAGUGGGAACUAUGCUGAAAUUCUCUUUUGCCAUCAAAAGUUCUACAAGAGACAUUUCUAGAAGACCUCAGCUAACCACAAGAAAAAUGCAACAUUCUAAUGAUAGCAACUAGCAGAGUGAUGAUGGAGAAACUGCAACUUGAGCAAACACAGCCUGCAAAGUUGGCCAAGGGAUGUACCGCAGAAGGACCCAUGAAAAGCGACGCGCAGAGGACUUUAUGUUGCCUGCUAGCACACUGGGAAAAGACUAAUUGUGUCCGUCCUUUGCUCCACCUGCAUUUGUAGUCUCAAUUCCUGAUGUGAACAGGAACAGUUGAAAGCUGAUGGCUGAGCAAAAAACUGGCAAUAAGUAAACAGACUGACUUUCUCUUAUGUGACGUCCCAAACCAGUCACUUGACUACUUCCUCAAACCGGGUACCUGAUAAGUAAGGAAGCAUACAUGCUUCUGUAUCUGCUUUAAAGAUUGCCACAGAGUUAGCGUAUUGUUCUUUUGUAACAGGUUAACUGAGACUGUGAAACUCUGUGGUUUCAUGCUGUCUUUCAAGUUCUAGGUGUAUACAGACAUAAAAUGAGACCAUGUGUGCAAGUCUCUUGAACUGCACUCAGUCUAUACAGUUUGUCUUAAAUGUAGGACCAUAUGUUAGAUAGGAGUGUUUAAUCAGAUCCUGGGGCUAAUAUAAUUCAUUGGGAAGUAAGUUAAAAGAGUUGAUUACUGUAAAUCCAUUGGGAAGGAGACCUUGGUGAAUUGGCAUGUAAGUAAUUGAUCAAAUUGUCUUAUGGUUUAGCUAUGGCUGGCUCUUCCUCCAUUGUGUUCGCAACACCUGAGUUGAUAACCAACUGGCACAAGUGAGGGACUCAGUCUAAUAUCUAAACAAAAUCACCUUUCCAGGACAGCGGUUGAUUAUAAAGUGUUAUUUUCUAUUGUGGUUGUGGUGUUUGAUUCUGAAAACCUGGAUGGUUAUCGUAUCAACCAAUUUUCUAGUUUAGGCUAGCAAAAUCCAAGCCCAAUACUAUUUUUGCUUUCUUAUGCCUUACGUUAGUAGUUGAUGUUAAGGGUAGUUAAUAA